UACGGGGGGGGCAAGCGUUGUUCGGAAUUACUGGGCGUAAAGGGCUCGUAGGCGGCCAACUAAGUCAUACGUGAAAUCCCUCGGCUUAACCAGGGAACUGCGUCUGAUACUGGAUGGCUUGAGUUCGGGAGAGGGAUGCAGAAUUCCAGGUGUAGCGGUGAAAUGCGUAGAUAUCUGGAGGAAUACCGGUGGCGAAGGCGGCAUCCUGGACCGACAUUGACGCUGAGGAGCGAAAGCUAGGGGAGCAAACGGG
rnacentral:rRNA from 1 species